rnacentral:rRNA from 1 species
UACGGCUAAUUGUGUAUAUCUACACGAUAUCGACUCUGUCGAAUAAAAUUCUGGGUAAAUUAUGAUGAUGACAUUUUUUACCUAUGUGUCUUGACCAAAUUGUGUGCCAGCAGUCGCGGUAAUACAUAGAAGACUAGUGUUAUUCAUCUUUAAUAGGUUUAAAGGGUACCUAGACGGUAGAUCAAGCCCUAGACGGGACUAAUUUGCUAGAGUUACUUAUGAGGGGGCUUUAAAGUACUAAUGGUGUAGAGAUAAAAUUUUGUAAUACCAUUUUUCGUAAAGAAAAAUUAUGGCACUGGUAAAGGUGAAAGCAUCCCCCUAUGUGAUAACUGACGUUGAAGGACGAAGGCUUUGGGUCGCGAAUAGGAUUAGAUACCCUAGUAGUCAAAGCAGAAAAUUAUGAGUGUCAUAGAUUAGAUAAGACAGUUUAUUCUAUAAAUGAAAGUGUAAGCACUCCACCUCAAGAGUAAUUUGGCAACAUUGGAACUGAAAUCAUUAGACCGUUUCUGAAACCAGUAGUGAAGUAUGUUGUUUAAUUCGAUGAUCCGCGAAAAACCUUACCACAAUUUGAAUAUGUAUACUUUUGAUAUAUUUACAAGCGUUGCACGGCUGUCUUCAGUUAAUGUCGUGAGACUUUGGUUAGAUCCAUUAAAUUAACGUAAGCCCUUACUUUAUUUUCAUAUAAAGUAGUUCUCCACCAUAUUGGACAAGAUAACAGGGACUAAGACAAGUCAUCAUGGCCUGAAUAUUGUGGG